GGAGCGAUGGCCGAGCGGUUAAGGCGUGUGACUCAAGCUGCAUAAGCUUCCCUUCUCAUCAUCGUAUGAUGGCGUGGGUUCAAGUCCCACUCGCUUCA